GAAGGUGCGGUAACACGCACUGGAGGCCCGAACCCACGCAUGUUGAAAAAUGCGGGGAUGAGGUGGGGGUAGCGGAGAAAUUCCAAUCGAACUCGGAGAUAGCUGGUUCUCCCCGAAAUAGCUUUAGGGCUAGCCUCGGAAAACAGAGUCGUGGAGGUAGAGCACUGAUUGGGUGCGGGGCCCGCAAGGGUUACCAAGCUCAGUCAAACUCCGAAUGCCAUAGACUUACUUCCGGGAGUCAGACAGUGAGUGCUAAGAUCCAUUGUCAAAAGGGAAACAGCCCAGACCAUCAGCUAAGGUCCCCAAGUGUGUGUUAAGUGGGAAAGGAUGUGGAGUUGCACAGACAACCAGGAUGUUGGCUUAGAAGCAGCCACCAUUGAAAGAGUGCGUAAUAGCUCACUGGUCGAGUGACUCUGCGCCGAAAAUGUAACGGGGCUAAACACACCACCGAAGCUAUGGCUUGAUGCUUUGCAUCAGGGGUAGGGGAGCGUUGUAUAAGGGUUGAAGGUGUACCGUAAGGAGCGCUGGACAUUAUACAAGUGAGAAUGCCGGUAUGAGUAACGAAAAGAUCAGUGAGAAUCUGAUCCGCCGAAAGCCUAAGGGUUCCUGAGGAAGGCUCGUCCGCUCAGGGUAAGUCGGGACCUAAGGCGAGGCCGAAAGGCGUAGUCGAAGGACAACAGGUCGAAAUUCCUGUACCACCGUAAGCCGUUAUGAGCAAUGGGGGGACGCAGCAGGGUAGUGACGCGGACUGAUGGAUGUCCGUCUAAGCAGUGAGGCUGAUGUGUAGGCAAAUCCGCACAUCGUAAGGCUGGACUGUGAUGGGGAGCGAAAAUUAUAGUAGCGAAGGUCAUGAUCUCACACUGCCAAGAAAAGCCUCUAGCCAGGUGAUGGUGCCCGUACCGCAAACCGACACAGGUAGGCGAGAAGAGAAUUCUAAGGCGCGCGGAAGAACUCUCGUUAAGGAACUCGGCAAAAUGACCCCGUAACUUCGGGAGAAGGGGUGCCCCGGUAGUGUGAAUAGCACGAGGGGGCCGCAGUGAAAAGGCCCAAGCGACUGUUUAGCAAAAACACAGGUCUGUGCGAAGCCGUAAGGCGAAGUAUACGGGCUGACGCCUGCCCGGUGCUGGAAG
rnacentral:rRNA from 1 species